CCUACUUAACUCAGUGGUUAGAGUAUCGC
rnacentral:tRNA from 1 species